CCCUUAGAUGUUCUGGGCCGCACGCGCGCUACAAUGGUCUUCGCAAACGGAUGCAUUCUCGAAGGAGAAUGCCAAUCUUGGAAUCUAUGCCUUGGUCGGGACAGUUGCUUGCAAUUUUUCGACUCGAACCAGGAAUUCCUUGUAAUCGUGAUUCAUCACAUCACGAUGAAUACGUCCCUGCCCUUUGUACACACCGCCCGUCGCACCUACCGAUUGGAUGGUCCGGUGAAGCCUCGGGAUUGUGGUUCUUGCCGCUUUAUUGUGGCGUGACCGCGAGAACUUGUCUAAACCUUAUCAUCUAGAGGAAGGUGAAGUCGUAACA
rnacentral:rRNA from 1 species